ACUAUUUUGGCAGAUAAGUGUAAUAAAUUUAGAAUUUAUUAAUGUAGGAGAUUUUCUAUAGAUAGUA
rnacentral:tRNA from 1 species